GGAGUUAGCCGGUGCUUCUUCUGCGAGUAACGUCACAGAUGUAAGGUAUUAACUUACACCCUUUCCUCCUCGCUGAAAGUGCUUUACAACCCGAAUGCCUUCUUCACACACGCGGCAUGGCUGCAUCAGGGUUUCCCCCAUUGUGCAAUAUUCCCCACUGCUGCCUCCCGUAGGAGUCUGGGCCGUGUCUCAGUCCCAGUGUGGCUGAUCAUCCUCUCAGACCAGCUAGGGAUCGUCGCCUAGGUGAGCCUUUACCUCACCUACUAGCUAAUCCCACCUGGGCUUAUCCAUCAGCGCAAGGCCCGAAGGUCCCCUGCUUUCCCCCGUAGGGCGUAUGCGGUAUUAGCAGUCGUUUCCAACUGUUAUCCCCCACAAAUGGGCAAAUUCCCAGGCAUUACUCACCCGUCCGCCGCUCGUCAUCUUCAAAAGCAAGCUUUUGAAAUGUUACCGCUCGACUUGCAUGUGUUAGGCCUGCCGCCAGCGUUCAAUCUGAGCCAUGAUCAAACUCUGA
rnacentral:rRNA from 1 species